CCGAAAAAGCUGUCAAGAAUAGGAAACAACAAAAUUAUUCUCAAAACUAACUUGCUAAAUAGUUGCUGGGCGUAGCUGAUUUUCCGUGUUCAACAAAAUGUGUAAAUGUAUCGCUGGAACUUGCGUCUGCUGCUGCUGCCAGUGCGCAAUGAGCAUUUUCAUUUCAUUGCUGUUCGUUUUCAUAUUGAUAGCAGUAGCAGUCUCCGUGGCAAUCUACUUUGGCUUAUUCAACGUGGACGAAACGGCACCAGGCGUGUCUGAUCUAGUCCACAAAACAGGCAACUCUAUCAGAGAUACUAUCAAGGAAAAACUGAACUAACAGAAUCCAGAAAGUAACAACGAACAUCAUUUACAUCACGCCUAUAAGAUUCUCAUUAAAAAUUAUUGAACACAUAUGCCAAACUAAAUAAGGUAAAAUACCAACCAGGGAAACCACGACGUUUUUAAACGUUCUAAGUGUAUAAGCGUAUGCUGCAAUCGUACAAAACACAAGUGCUUUAGUCGUCUACGUUAUUAAAUGGGAGUCAUACUAAAUUGAACCUGGACACCUCACCGCAUCCAUUAAACAAAAACAGCGUCACCAUACAAGCUGCAUAACCUUUGCCAUUGCCAUAGCGGUAGCGAUAUACUAUGGCGUGAUUCACGUUGACGAGUCUGCGUCGGAUGCAAUCAAAGACGCUGGAUCGAAAAUAAAGCAUUCCAUAAAAGAUGGCUUGAAAAAGCUCGAUGACGAUUAAUUUCAUUCACGAAUAGAGAAGCCCCCCUAAUAUGUAAGUCAGAUACCUACUGAAAUUCAACCGAAAACGACGUCUACAAUAAACCAAUGUACCGACCAACAACUAUUGCUCCAAAUAUAAACUACACUCAUGAAAUAAAAAAUGAUGAAUAUUCCCCACUGCAGUACUCCACUAUGCAUUGAUAUGUAACGAAUCUCAUAAAUCGUUAAUUCAUAAGGGGAUGAAGCUUUUUAUAUCAAUUUUUUUACCUACUGAAGUUUAAAUAAAAAUAUGAUAUAGUGCUCAAUCCCGGGUUUCCUUG